AAUAAGCGUCGGCUAACUACGUGCCAGCGGCCGGGGUAGGACGUAGGACGCAAGCGUUGUCCGGAUUGCCUGGGCAUAAAGCGCCUGUAGGCGGUCAAGUAAGUCGGAUUGCAAGCCCCGUGCUCAGCACGGGUAAGCCAGUCGAUCCUGCCUGAAUAGAGAACGACAGAGGGAAACGGAAACGUCUGAGUAUCGCUAAAAUUGCACAGAGAUCAGAAAGAACACCGAUGGCGAAGCCAGUUUCCUAGCCCGCAUCGGACACUGAGAGGCGAAAGCUAGGGGAGCAAACAGGAAUAGAGACCCAGGUAGUCCUAGCUGUAAACGAUGGAUGCUAGAUGUGGUCCGGAAAGCUCCGUGCCGUAGUUCACGCGAUAAGCAUACCGCCUGGGGAGUACGCCCGCAAGGCUAAAACUCACACGAAUUGACGGGGACCCGCACAAGCACCGGAGCGUGUGGUGUAAUUCGAUGCUACACGCAGAACACUACACGGGCUUGACAUGUAGGUGUUAGUGAAGUGAAAGCGGAGCGACCCUUCGGGGAGCCUACACAGGUGCUGCAUGGCUGUCGUCAGCUCGUGCCGUGAGAUAUCGGGUUAAGUCCCGUAACGAGCGCAACCCCCGUCCCGAGAUACAAGUGUCUAAAGAGACUGCCGCGGGACACACCGGAGAAAGAUGGGGUGACAGUCAAGUCAGCAUGGCCCUUAUGUCCAGGGCGACACACACGCUACAAUGGUCGGUACAAUGGGCAGCGCAACCGCGAGAGGAAGCGAAUCCCAACAAAGCCGAUCCCAGUUCGGAUUGCAGGCUGCAACCCGCCUGCAUGAAGCCGGAGUUGCUAGUAACCGCGCGUCAGCCAUAGUGCGGUGAAUACGUUCCCGGGUCUUGUACACACCGCCCGUCACGUCAUGG
rnacentral:rRNA from 1 species